rnacentral:piRNA from 1 species
UGAUAGGAGACAUCAUCAACCUCGGCCUGAA